CUUCGAGAGCCAGUUAAUGUCUCUUCCGUCUUUUCCUUUCCCGACUCCCUCUCAGAUUCCUUCAUUCCGGUACUGCGUGAACGGAGAGCCGCGGGUAGCCGACACCAAAUACCCGGCUAGCGAGAGAGCAUAGAAAAGGAUUACACCAAACUGUUUAAAAUCCAACGGCUCCUGCUUCCUUUCUCCUGAGCUAGACCCAGCAAGCCUAGAGAGUUGGGCUACGGAAAGUAGUAUUUGCAUUUAAUUGGAUAUGAAGAAAGAACAAAUAUGUACGGGGGCAACCACGAUCUUUAUAAAGGUACCAUUCCUGCAAAAAUAUUAGUCUUCACAACGAAGGUUGUAUUCGUAACGUUCGUUAAAAUUUUUACUUUUAAAAAAAGCCUAAGUUCUAGUGGGAGGGGAGGUGUCACUAUUUAGAUUUAUUUAUAUACUAACCGACAUUGAACGUUUAGGACGGUGGGCCAAACUGCCAGGAGCCCUAGAUGCAGUUAGUAUUGUAAGAUGGCUACUCAUGCAGUUAGGUGAAGUUUUCAUAAGGUAACAACAGGAAAAUAAAAACAUCACGUAUCGUCCUAAUUCCUUCCCCCACCAAAAGCCCCCUGGGAGCGUGGAUUUUGUUUGCCUUUCUAAUUCAACUUGGUAUCUAAUCACAUAAUCCUUGGCCACAGUAGAUGCUCAGUAGAUAUUUGUUAAACAAAUGAAAAUUCAACUCCCCCAACUUAGUUUCAAAUGUAAAGAGCUCAUAAUAUCGAACAGAAAAAAGCUUCCCCCACUCACGCCCCCAGAACCCUUUGAACCUUAAAUGAAACAAAGCAUUAGAAAAUGCUUCCCUCAUAAAAUUCAAGUUGCUAAUCUUGAUUUUUCUCAACAAAGGUAUUACUCUCCUAACCUUCCACGUCUCGGUAAAGGACACGACUACCAUCAGGCUACUUACUCAAACCAGAAUCCCAGGCCUCCUGCUUAAAUUCCUUUUCCUUCACUUUUCUCAUCCCGUUUACUUGCAAGUCUUCCCUAUUCUACUUUCAGCAUAUACCCCAGAUUUCAUUCCACUGCCUUAGUCCAAGCCACCGUCAUUUUCUACCUGGAUUGUAAUUGUCCCCUAAUGAUCUUCCUGCUCCCACUUUUCUCCCACAGUUAACUUUGCAUAUAAAAAUGAGAGGGAUCUUUUAAAAUCGUGAAUCAGGUAGUGUUACUCUCCUGCAUAAAAAUUCACUGCACUUAGAAUAAAAAUCAAAUUUCUUAAUGUGACCUGACCUGAGAGUUUUUAGGGUUUGGUUCCUACCUAUCUCCCUGGUUUCACUUCUAAUCAUUGUGCUACACACUAAACUCUAGCCACAGGCAACUCUGCAUUUCUGUUUCACAGACUAGAUUUCUUUGCACUGGCUUUUCUCUGUUGUAUGUGCCUCGGUGUAGCUGUACUACCAUUCUUCCAAGUCUCAACUCAAAGACGACCUCCUCAGGUUUCCUGACAUCUACUUUUACACCCCCAUCCUGCCAAUACACAAAUAGCAUCACAUCACCCUGUUUUAUUUUGUCAUAGUACUAAACACUUCUGAAUGUAUUGUUUGAUGGUUUAUUUCCUUGUUUCUUGUCUGAGAGGCAGUGUAGCAAAGUCAUUAAGAGGAAGGAACCUAUAGUCAGCCUGUUUCGGUUCUGAAAUCUAGAUCUGCCUUUUCCUAACUGUAACUUCAGGCAAGGUAUUUACCCUUUGCCCUCAGUUUCCUCCUGUGUUAAAUGGGAAUAAUUCUAGUUUCCACCUCAUAAUGUUAUUAUAAGAAUUAAGUGAAUUAAUACUAGUGCUUAAAAUUUUCAGCAGACAGUAUUUGCUAACCAGAUGUUAAUUAUUGUUAUUAUUAAUAACAUUUUUAUCAUUAUUGUCUAUCUUCCUGUAUUAGAACAUAAGUUCCAGGGAAGCAGAAACCUUGUGUCUCUUGUUCACUGGUGUAUCCUCUGCAUAUAGAACAGUGCCUGGCACAUAAUAGGUGCUGAGAAUGGAUAAUCAUCUGACUUCCCUGAGAAAAUAGAAGCUGUUUUUCUCAGAGGACUCCUCAUCUCUCCCCAGCAGAUGUACUGAGCUGCUUUUGACUGUGUCCUUACAUUGAGCUUUCCGUGUAUUAGAAGACGUGAACACACUGUUAGGUAACCCUAAUCCUCUCCCUUGUUCUCUGGGUCUAAAUCCCUGCAGCCUUCCUGGAAACUGGUGUCUGGCUAUAUUUCCUAAAGCAGUGCCUGGCACCAAUAGGUGCACAUAAGUGUUUUCCAAAUGAAUGAAUGAGUGAAUGCAUGAGAGAGAGAGUGAAUGAGUUUUAACAGGAAAAAGAAUAUCACAUUUUGCUGCAAAAAGUUAUUACCUUAAUCUUUAUACCUCCUUACACUUUAAAGGAGAAAAAAGUAAUUUUUAUUCUGCUAGUCUGAAAUCCAGGUUUAAAGUGAAGAUACACCAAGACCCAGAAAGAUGCUCUUUUUAGGAAAGAAUCUCUAAAUGAAAAAUCAAGUGAUUAACAGGCUCUAUAAGUACUAUCAGAAUUUUAAUUCAGUCAGCCCACCCCUGAUUAGAUCACAGAUCUAACUCAGUCAAACUUCCCUCCUCUUCCCCAAUUCUAGUAAACCCUCUCAUUUACAAAGUUACCAGCCCACAAAGUGUGAAACUUUUGCUUGAAAAUGAAGGAAAAAACCUAGAGGUUACAAGUUAGAAAUCACAUUUAAAAAAUAAAAAUAUCAAAAAUUUUAAAAAUCACAUUUAAAAAAUAAAGUAAUAUAAAUAAUCUGAAAAUGACUGGUUUUGUAAAGUUAUUGCUCUAAACUGUUUUGAAAAAAUAAUAAAAAUAAAAAAAUAAACCGUUUUGAAAAGUGAAAGGAAUAGAAAAAUAAGCUUACUUUCUAUCAACAAAAUCCUGUUUUUAAAUGCAGAUGCUUUGGAUACUGGAGAGAUGCUUUCCCAGCAGUAACCUCAAGAUGAAAUUUGCUGAUGCUCCAGACUAGAUUACUGGACCAUAUUAUAGUUUAAUCACCUCUUACUUAAUCUGAGCACUUUGCUGCUUCACUAGCUAACCAGUCUGUUACUAAUUAGACAAUUAAAAACAAACAUUAAGAAACAGUUAAACAACUAAAAUACAGAAAAUGAAGGCUAGAAAAAGAUAUGCCAGGCAAAUUCUAAGCAACAACAAUAAAGAACUUCAUGUACCAAUAUUAAUUAUAAAAAGUAUUCUUUAGCAUUAAUAAGGAAACUUAUGUGAACAUCAUAUUGCAUCACAGAUAUCUAUGAUAUUAACAAAUUAACAUUGAUACACAGAAGAUUGUAGAAUGUAUGCUUAUUGCAUUUAUAUACGCAUAUAUAUUUAUAUAUUGCAUUUAUAUUUGUAUAUAAAAUCCUUUAACCAAAAAAGAGAAUACACAUUCUUUUUGAUAAACAAUGAAUAUGUACAAAAUUUAAUCAAGUAUAAAGUCCCUGAAUAAAUUUCAGUAAAUGUCUAUGUAUUAUUUUUAAAUGAUA